AUCAACGCUGGCGGCGCGCCUAACACAUGCAAGUCGAGCGAGAAAGCAGGAGCAAUCUUGUGAGUAAAGCGGCGUACGGGUGAGUAACACGUGGAUCAUCUACCUCUUUGUGGGGAAUAACCCUGGGAAACCGGAGCUAAUACCGCAUAAGUCCGAGAGGAGAAAAGCGUCUUUGUGAAAGCAAAGACCGCGCAGAGAGAGGAGU
rnacentral:rRNA from 1 species